NNNNNNNNNGCGGCGCGUCCGGGGGGCGGCGGACACCCGGGCUCUGGCACCCCCGCGGUCUGGGCAGACGGUGCCCCGGGGGAGCCCGCGGGAGCCGCCGGCAGGCUGGAACUCCAAGGACUAGAUCAUGAUAAACGUUGAAGAGUUGUACACAGCAGGUUCUUGGAUCUCACACCAUGGGAAAAACGCAGAAGAUGAAAAAACAACACUCCGGCCAGAAUUCAAGGAAAUUCUUAAUAAACUAGGUUUUCAUAUGAAGGAAAUGGGGUUUGAAAACUUUGGCAGUGGUAACUUUCAUUUCUUUCUUUCUUUUUUUUUUUUUCUUUUAAAUUUCACUUACUGUGGAACAAAUGCUGACACAUUCCCUCUUGGAACUGCAAAGAAAAAGUGUGACAUUAAUAUCAAUGAAAACACAACCUUGUAUCUUGAAUUUGUUGGGCUUUACAUUUAA
rnacentral:lncRNA from 1 species